UGGCAGUGAGGCAGUAGAGUGUCUGUGGAUAGUGAUAAAAGGUUGCCUAUACGUUCUGGAGGAGAGCCUCAUCUAUGGUUAGAAAAUAAAAAAGAUAUUCAAACGUUGUUUGAGCACGAUUCAAGUGUAUUAGCAGUAGCAAUAAGGAGAGAGGUCGAUUAAUGCCCUAUUGGUGCAGGGAACCGUGACAGGUUAUGUGUAAAUAGGAAGACAACAGUGAAUCAUUUUGGUAAUGUGUGUUGUCAACAAAAGUGAUAUUUGAGGCGUAACACUGGAAUAAGACAUUAGGUCACCUGUAUUCUCCAGUAAUACAUUUGCAGACGCUUUAGUAUUGGAUCUAAUACAAGGUAUCAAGUGGCGUGACCAAUAAUAGGCACAAAUACCUUAACUACUCUUUGGGGAAGUGGGUAUCACAACCUUUGAAAAUAGUUAAUAGAAGGUGUGCAUUAGAGUCGGGAGAGAGGAAAUCUAAAUACUCUGGACACCGUCGGGAGAUGCUUCAGAAUAAUAACUAUUGAAACGACGACCGUCAGCCCCGAUUCUAACUGUAAAGCGGGAGGAAGAAGAGGAGGAAGACAAGUUUAAUAAAGCCAUAGAGGCGCUGAAAGAGGCGCACGAGCAUUCUACCAAAUCGGCUCUAAUAUGGAUGAAAUAGAGCAGGAUGCUUUGAGAGUGGAAUCUAACUCCAAUCACUUCGCCGUCGUUCAAGGGGUUAAUACAGCCACAGAAAAAGUCAUAACAGUGGUUUCAAUGACCAAGGUAAGACAAAGAAACAGGGCGGGAAACGUAGCGAAAAAACAUCAAAGCGUAGGUUGAUAGAUCUCUGUUUUAGAUGUGGGAGGCUAAGUCUCACACAACUUUCUAAUAGAUGCCUGGGAUCAAAUAUCGCUGAUUCCUUAUGAUGAGAAACAUGCUAAAUUUACGACAGGGAGAAGUGUUACAUUUAGCAAUGUACUAGGGGCAGCAUCAAAAGCGAUACGAUUACUACCUGUCUUUAACCGUGGGACCAGUAACAAGACCCGGAUCAUUUUACAUGGGAGGAAGUGGAGCCAAUUUUGGGGUUGGAUAAUCCUUGCGAGAAUGAAAGACAAUGGAGUCUAAAAAAGGGUUAGCGCUUAACUCCCUGACCUGGUAACUCUACGGUGAGGUCGCCAGCAUGAUAAGGGAGUAUAAGCCUAAAAUGUUUUCAACAGUGUGUUAUUGUGCUCUUUGACAUUUGUCUUAGAGAUUUUGAUAUUAAUAAAAUUGUGAAUGUAAUAAUUUGUCAUACAAUAAUAGAUGGUCUGUAUUUCCAGAAUCAAAAAUGUCUUAAACUGUUGUUUUGCUCUGUCCUCUCGAGUUAUGGCGAAGGUGACCACAGAUGGUGUUUUGAUGCAUGGAAUGGAUCAUUUGACCGAGAACAGUGUGUAAAUCUCAAAACCCCCCUAACCAGCUGAAGAAUAGCGACAAAGGCGUUCACUAUGACUAUGACUAUCUGUGACCUGAGUCCAAGCCAUCAACUUGUAAAAGAGAGGCAGGGGUGCGGCAUGAGUCCUGAGACCACGCAUGUGGAGUGAGCAUGGAUUGAGAUCACAUUCAAACUCCUUUCAUACUUCUGGUGUACUGGUGGGAAAACGGACCAGACAGAAUGGACAGUACAGAACGGUGGUGAAGGCUCAGGUGGAAGACUUGUGUACUUGGAAAAAAACAGAUUAAUUUCCUCAGAUAUUGAAAUCGGGACAUUAUUAUGGUCCAUCAACUGUGACAGGCAUGAGUUACAUAUGUGCCUUUGGGAAGAUGAACUGUAACGCUAUCUGAAGAAGAACCAAUGAAGAUACCCAGAAGAUGAGUGCCGGGAGAAAGGGGUGGUGGUCAACCGUGACUGUAAUUGUUUAGUAGAGGUAUCAGGUUGAUUGUGGAGGUCUGCACACUGUGAAAUUUAUAGCAAUUUAGACUAAGAAUGCAUUGAGAUACCAAUCUGUCAUUACCAUGCCACUCGCGACAGUGAAACAGCAACAAAUGUGGGUUGUAAUGAGAAAAGUUAAUUCCGGUAAUAUGUGGUCCCGUUUGUAAAUGUACAUACUAACAGUGAUGAUGUGUGCGAGGUUGAGGGGCUUGAAUUCGAGUGAUAGACUCAACGUAAAGCACUAAGGACUGUCAUUCUAAAUUUAGGUUGGAUAAUUGAUCAAAUGUUUUAAUUAUGAUUCGGAAAGGAGAUAAGAGAGAGCGCUACACCCAGCUGUGAGGAGAGUUCAAAGUGAGGGGAGGGUGCGCUGCUCGAAUUUACUGGGUCUAGGGAGGGUUUUUCUCCCUAGAAACCUUAUCUUUUAGUGUCCUCCGAGAAGGAGGUUAUUAGAGCCCACUAUAUGAUAGCUUGGGUAAACCACGAAGGGGCUUUGUGUUACCAUGUCAUCAUAAUCCUAAUGUUAAAGCAUAUCAAUACAUAUGGAUUGCUGGAUGAUGCAGUACAAUUAAUUAGAUACAAGGCUCAUAGUCUGUGUCUUGUGUUAACACCCGAGGAUGAGGUUAAAGGAGACAGGCAUGAAGACUAGCAUCCCAUGGGCAUAGAACAGAACGGAUGGACGGUUCUUUCUCCAGUCUUAGUCACAUCAAGGGUGGUGUGAAAUUACUAAACAUGUAUUUUCUUCUCUUUACUUUUCAAGUCUAAAAAUGUGUUUUUAGGUUUCGUGGAACAUAAAGGUGAUCAUUGUUCCAGAGGAGGGAUGGGUGGAAAUUGACUAAUUGAUUUGAGAAUGUUUUAGUACAGUAUGUUUAAAACUAUAGUAGUGAAUAAUGUGUUAUGGGUUUGAUGGAAUGAUUUAUGUGUUGUGGAGUCCCAAAACCAAGGCAAUAAUUUUGUAGGGAAUUGGGACAGCGGAAUGGAAUGUGACUGGGGUGGACAUCUGUGCGGCUCAUAAAUUAAGGAAUGGGUGAUAGUCUCUGGGGAAUGAUACCCACUCCUCUAUGUAUAUUGUCACAGGAGAUAGUUCGUAGGAGAGGGAGGACAGCUAACUGUGCAGAAUAUAGAGACUACUAUGAAGUUAAACUAAACGUUAAACAUACCCAGAUCAUAUUGAGAGUAGCAGAGAUAGUGUUGUCAUUUCAGACACUGUUGUCAAAUUUCAGUGAUGGGUUUGUCAAAAAAGGUAUAACACUUGAAAGAAUAGCCACAGAUCCCUGUAUACAUGAGGCCACAUCACCUGAAGGGAAGUUCGCUGUAAUAAUAGCAUCAUAUCUCCUGCAGAGUGUGAUGAAGAAACAUGUGACUCAGGGUUUUGUUAGAUUGGAUACUCUUCCGACACUUGACAUAUCUCCCAGAAGAUUGGGACCGAGUGACGAUACACGGAAAGUGUCAGAAGGUGGCUUCUCCCUUUUGGAGCCUGUGUUCUGAAAGAGGAAGACUGGAGGAAAGCAUGAGUUUUUUUUAGGUCAUUUAUUUUUGUGGAACCCAGCAGAAAAAUAUCCUGAAAGCAUAGAGUCAGAUGAAGAGAAAGUGGGACUGGUCAUGUUAUCAAAUAUAUUUUUUUCUGAAUGUUAAUCUUGUUUUAUUAUUUAUUAAUGUUUUAUUAUCAUUGUUUGUUCAUUUAUAAGUCAUUUCCAAGUUUAUAUCAUGUUGAACAGAUUCUAAUUUCUAAACUUGCAGAUAUUAAGUAUCCUUAUUCAUGUCACUGAGGGAGAGAGGGGAUUGUAGAACAUUUACAUUCUGUCAGAAUAUGUUAUUGUUAGACAUCAGGGAUCCUAUGGGGAGGAGUGAGGAAUUUUGGGCUGAGGUCAGGUCAGAUGAAGUGAGGAAGAACAGAUAUCACUAAAGAUCUGUCUAGCCACAGCGGUGUAUUGGCUGUUCAGAGGUGUAAGGAGGAGACUCAAUAUAUGAGGAAGGGUUAAAUACUAGUGCUUGUGUGAAUAUGGCUUUGUCUGUUCAGCUGUCUGACCCUUUGGGUGAAUAAACUUGGUUUGAGCUUUAAUAA